rnacentral:rRNA from 1 species
AAUAUUGGACAAUGGGCGAAAGGCUGAUCCAGCCAUGCCGCGUGUGUGAAGAAGGUCNNNGGAUUNUCAAUCACUUUAAGUUGNGAGNAAGGGCAGUAAGGUAAUACCUUGCUGUUUUGACGUUACCGACAGAAUAAGCACCGGCUAACUUCGUGCCAGCAUCCUGGGUAAUACGAAGGGUGCAAGCGUUAAUCGGAAUUAAUGGGCGUAAAACGGGCGUAGGUGGUUCGUUAAGUUGGAAGUGAAAGCCCCGGGCUUAACCUGGGAAUUGCUUUCAAAACUGACGAGCUAGAGUACGGUAGAGGGUAGUGGAAUUUCCUGUGUAGCGGUGAAAUGCGUAGAUAAAGGAAGGAACAUCAGUGGCGAAGGCGACUACCUGGACUGAUACUGACACUGAGGUGCGAAAGCGUGGGGAGCAAACAGG